UGGGGAAUAUUGCACAAUGGGCGCAAGCCUGAUGCAGCCAUGCCGCGUGUGUGAAGAAGGCCUUCGGGUUGUAAAGCACUUUCAGCGGGGAGGAAGGCGUUAAGGUUAAUAACCUUGGCGAUUGACGUUACCCGCAGAAGAAGCACCGGCUAACUCCGUGCCAGCAGCCGCGGUAAUACGGAGGGUGCAAGCGUUAAUCGGAAUUACUGGGCGUAAAGCGCACGCAGGCGGUCUGUCAAGUCGGAUGUGAAAUCCCCGGGCUCAACCUGGGAACUGCAUUCGAAACUGGCAGGCUAGAGUCUUGUAGAGGGGGGUAGAAUUCCAGGUGUAGCGGUGAAAUGCGUAGAGAUCUGGAGGAAUACCGGUGGCGAAGGCGGCCCCCUGGACAAAGACUGACGCUCAGGUGCGAAAGCGUGGGGAGCAAACAGG
rnacentral:rRNA from 5 species